GGUUCCGUGCGGAGCGUCCCACAGAUGUGGAUUUCCUCUCUGUCCUGGUGGGGUUCGGUGCCUAACUGGAACCAUGUGCCUCGGUGUUUGAAGAAAAGGAGCAGAGAGGAUGAUGCUGCAUUUUUAACACACCACACAGCAUGCAAGGGAUUUCCUCGCAACACCUUUCUUGCUGUGAUUCCACAGACCAGCCCGCUGCAGCUGAGGGCUGCGGAGACCCCAUCUAUCCCUGUAUCUAAACAAAGUUCAUGAUAGCUGAAGUAAAGGUAUGGGCAAGUGCAGGAAUAUAAACAGGAAUGGAAACGAUGUUUAUUCAAUGCCGUCACCAAAGGUUUACUGAAUAACCAAAAUGUACAAAACCCUCCUAUGGAAGCUGGAGAGGGUUGCUACUUUCAUGGAGCACACCGUACUAGAAUUGGAGAGUGCUGGGAUUGGGUGGGAUUGAAGAGUUGGAGCUUCUUCAUUGCAAUGUGGAGUCACUGAAGUGUUCCAAGAACAGACUUGAGUUUUAGGAUAUAGUAUAUCUCCGCAACAGUGUUGAAAAGGAAUGAAGACUGCAAUAAUGAAGGCUUAGUGACCUUUUAAGAGGCUAACGCAGUUAUUUGAGCCAAGGACAAGGACAGCCUGGAUGAAGG